rnacentral:rRNA from 1 species
GACGAACCGUGCGAACGUUAUUCGGAAUCACUGGGCUUAAAGCGCGUGUAGGCGGGCCGGCACGUCGGUGCCUGAAAGCCCCCGGCUCAACCGGGGAACUGGGGCCGAUACGACCGGCCUGGAGGGACGUAGGGGGGCCUGGAACUUCCGGUGGAGCGGUGAAAUGCGUUGAGAUCGGAAGGAACGCCCGUGGCGAAAGCGAGGCCCUGGACGUCUGCUGACGCUGAGACGCGAAAGCCAGGGGA